rnacentral:rRNA from 1 species
GAACGGAACUAUAAACUGGCAUUACACAUGCAAGUCGAGCGGAGAGAGGUAGCUUGCUACCGAUCUUAGCGGCGGACGGGUGAGUAAUGCUUAGGAAUCUGCCUAUUAGUGGGGGACAACAUUUCGAAAGGAAUGCUAAUACCGCAUACGUCCUACGGGAGAAAGCAGGGGAUCUUCGGACCUUGCGCUAAUAGAUGAGCCUAAGUCGGAUUAGCUAGUUGGUGGGGUAAAGGCCUACCAAGGCGACGAUCUGUAGCGGGUCUGAGAGGAUGAUCCGCCACACUGGGACUGAGACACGGCCCAGACUCCUACGGGAGGCAGCAGUGGGGAAUAUUGGACAAUGGGCGCAAGCCUGAUCCAGCCAUGCCGCGUGUGUGAAGAAGGCCUUAUGGUUGUAAAGCACUUUAAGCGAGGAGGAGGCUACUUUAGUUAAUACCUAGAGAUAGUGGACGUUACUCGCAGAAUAAGCACCGGCUAACUCUGUGCCAGCAGCCGCGGUAAUACAGAGGGUGCAAGCGUUAAUCGGAUUUACUGGGCGUAAAGCGCGCGUAGGCGGCUAAUUAAGUCAAAUGUGAAAUCCCCGAGCUUAACUUGGGAAUUGCAUUCGAUACUGGUUAGCUAGAGUGUGGGAGAGGAUGGUAGAAUUCCAGGUGUAGCGGUGAAAUGCGUAGAGAUCUGGAGGAAUACCGAUGGCGAAGGCAGCCAUCUGGCCUAACACUGACGCUGAGGUGCGAAAGCAUGGGGAGCAAACAGGAUUAGAUACCCUGGUAGUCCAUGCCGUAAACGAUGUCUACUAGCCGUUGGGGCCUUUGAGGCUUUAGUGGCGCAGCUAACGCGAUAAGUAGACCGCCUGGGGAGUACGGUCGCAAGACUAAAACUCAAAUGAAUUGACGGGGGCCCGCACAAGCGGUGGAGCAUGUGGUUUAAUUCGAUGCAACGCGAAGAACCU